rnacentral:tRNA from 1 species
CUUCAUAUAACUAAGUUUAAGUGCAGGGUUCUUACCCCUGUAAUGUGUUUUGCACUGUGGGGU